AAAAAAUGACAAAUAUAUUCAUGUAUUAAAAUUUAGAAAAAAUAAAUCUAAAUAAAAAGGUGAUUUUUUGAAGAAAAAAAAAGCUUGCUAAUAUCACUCAAAAAAAUUGUGUGGGGAAUAUCACUCAACUUAGUCUAAGUCAACCGAAAUCUAACUACAUCUUUAAAAAUACUUUAGUUUUGGAUAUGAUUCAUUCGUUGCCUACCUAGCAGCUAGCUUGGUUUCCGAUUCAAGAACGCAAUCGGUAAUUAGCCGGUAAAAAAUCAGCCGGACGGUUGGGCUGGAUCGAUUGGACUUUUGAUAAUUUUCCUGACCCAUAUCAAUGCAUCUAGCAUCGCCACCUACCUUCAAUUAGCCACACCGUCACCUACCUUCCCACCGCCCCUCACAUUUCUCCCCGUCGUUCCCCAUUCUUCCUUGGUCGCCAGCUCCCUCUCUCCACCUCGUCAGGCCACCCCUCCCCUUCGUCCCCACCGCCAACAAGAGGUUCGCAACCCCUUCUCUUCCCUGCGUUUUCAUCGAAUCCGGUCGCCCAAGUGGCCGAGGAGGUCCCCCAGCUGGCCAGCUCGGCAUGCUCGCGAGCAUCCUAGCGUUAUGCUCCGUCGGAUGCGCGCGACUUCCCCGCCCCUGCUCUUCCCCGUCCUUCUUCGAAUCCGUCCGCCGAAGUGCCCAAGGAGGCGCUCGAGCUCAGCGCACUCACGGGCGACCCAGCGCGAGGCGGGCGCCGAGGCCCGCAACAAGCCAACAAGGAGCGGGCGUGGGUGCGCAACAAUAUCUGGGCACAAUUCGAUGCCUCCACUGCUGAGCCGUGGAGAUGUGCAGGAGCCAGUGAGAUACGGCCACCUCCCAGCCAGUUCACCAGCCUCCGCGAAGAUGUGUAGGAGCCAGUGUGCCUCUGUGUGAUGUGUUAUUCAAGAUACCUCUACAUAUUUCCCCCUUCUUAAUGAAAAGGCAGCGCUUCUGUCGGUUCCCCAAAAAAAUUGUGUUAUUCAGGAUAUAAUGGCACUCGAUAAUGCUUGCUAAGAAGGUAUGCAAUAUGAACUGGACUGUUGCUUGCCAGAUGACUGGAAGAUGGGUACUUCAUCCUCUCUUUUUUUGUGAAGCAAGAUAAAUAAGGUUCAGGCAUUGUAAUGAAAACUGCAGAUUUAGCUAAAUUCAACUGAUGGUGUAAUAUCUCUUCCUAUGGGCAGAAGUAAUGAUAUCUUCUUAGGAGUAAUAAGGCGUCGCUGCAUAAAUAUACUUGACUUUCAAAUGAGUGUGUCAAGAGGUUUAAUUAGCAUCGAUCCCUACUGUAAUUAUAGCUGGAUAUCUCGCUCCUGUACUAUUUGAAAGUCAAUUAGAUGUUCAGAAUAACAGAAAUUUGCUAGAUAAGCUAACAUUAGAAGCGGAAGUAAACAUUAAACAGUUCAGAUAGUGAAGGUGAAUAUCUGAUAUGUCAUCAUUGUGUGUUUCCUGUUGUAGAUAAAUUUGCUUGCAGGGCUCUUGAUGAUAUAUCCACUUUCAUCAAAUGCUUAAGGGUAUGGUCACUUGGAGAAGACAUAGCUAUGACUACAAAGAUCUGUUUUUUCAGGUGAUGAAUUGUAACCUUAUAUCCUUUAUUACUUGGAAUUGAAAAUCACAGGAAACAAUCCGUAAUUAAUUUGGAGAGAAUCUUUUAUUCUUUUCUGUCUUGCUCCUGUUCAGUAUAGGAUGUACUCCCUCUGUAAAGAAAUAUAAGAGCGUUAGUGUUCUAAAUGCUCUUAUAUUUCUUUACGGAUGCAGUAUAUCAUUAUCAUUAUCAUGUAACAAAUUUACCGUAGAAAGUACAAAAGUUUGGCAGAUCACCAUCAGGUGCAGACAUACUCUUUCUUCCACAUACUACAGUAGUACCCCUCCAAUCAGAUGUACAGAAAUUUGCUUGCUAAAAAACUAAUCAAUAAUCCAUGAAAUUUAACUGGAUUAAUUAAGGAUCAAGCCACUCACCUUGUGGCUAAUCCACCAGAUCCAUCUCUCCACGUUCCUGCAUGUGAAGAAUUGAUCAGUGCUUCAGGUCAGAACUACUGCAUAGUGCAUACCUUAUACAUGGAGCCCUUACUAAAAAUUCAGAAGAAUAUGCAGAAUAUCCAUUUUUAUUGACAUAGAUAUCUGCAGUCCUAGACAAAAUGUGACCAUAAUCCACACUACUACAAGUGAAUUACUAUAUAGCUACCUUAUGGGGCCUAUAUGCCUGAUAGUCAUAUCUUCUUGUUUGGCAAAGAGUUCACCAGUUGCACUUAGUCUUGAAUGGAGAAGAUUGCACAUGCUAUUGUACAACUGGGCAAUGGUGUGGAGCUCCAUAAGCGACGGCGGCGACUCUAGCUGUCCUUCUGGCCUACACAUCCCAACGGAGAAGCUUUAGAAACUAAUCUGUUUACUCCUCGUUCAGGAUCAGUAAUGAACAUAUUAUUACACAAAUUAAUUUACCAAAACCGGGUUCUCAUUGUUGGUGAUGAAAAUGUAGCAACAUUGACAUGGUUUUUGUCAAUACUACAACACUAUUGAUGCAGGCUUGACACACAACUGGAUUAUAGAUCAAUUAUCUUCUCACUUCAGUAACACCAUGAUCUUGUGCUUGCUUUUUGAAAAUCAUGGAAGAACAACCUGUGAUCUGGUACCAAGUUUUGGCACAACCAUUAACUCCCAAAGUGAUUCACCAGAGUGCUUUAUGCUUUCCAACAGGUAUGCAUCGUACAAGAUGGAUUUAUUCUUGACCGAUUGGAAGCAUACCGCAACACGGCGUACACAAGGGCUAGCCUAAGCAUGCAGAUACAGAAGGUUUAGUUCAGUGGCUGUGCUGGACAGGAGGGGCCAGGGAAUUGCUUUAAGUUGUUCCAAGAGAUGUGAGCCUGAUAAAAUGAUGACAUAGCAGAUUUCCACUGUGGUCUCCUUGCAGGACCACUCUCAGUGGUUGGCCCUCCUGUUCACUUACACAAAAACAGAAGGCAGAAGAUGAUAUUGGCCCUGCUGUUGAGCCGCAAACAUAGAAUGUUGCUUUGGCAGGUCAAAGGAAGAAGCAGGUCGAAGGAAGAAGUUUAGACUAAAGACAUGGUCAAAGGAAGAAGCAGGUCGAAGGAAGAAGUUUAGACUAAAGUGGAGAGAAGAAUUUUACAGCUGCGUGUAUCCGGCUGGCUGCGACGGGCAGGGCGGGCUGUACCAGUGGGGAUCUCCCGUAGGGAUGCCACGCUGCGAGGGCAGGAUCCUGGGCGUUCCCUGGCGUCGCUGCCCUGGCGACCUUGCUGGAAGUUCUGUGGCGUCGCUGCCCUGGCGACCUCGGGGAAGGAAGCGUCGCUGCUCGCGGACGGUCUCCACGUUGGUCGGCAACAAUGGCGAUGACAUUGGCGAUGGUGCGACGGUGCGAUGUCGAAUUAAUUUUGUUUCCUUAUUUUACCAGGAGAUCAACGUGGUGUGAUGACGAAUUAAUGUUGUUUCCUUAUUUACCUGGAGUAGAGCGUGAUUGUAGGGGGUGGAUGCGGGGUGCUGGAGGUGGAGCACGGUCAGUCAAGUGGUAUUUCCUAAGUCCACACCGUACAGGCAGCAAAUGAAUGAUGGCUGUUAGAUUUAGAUGUGCGGGUAUAAUUGUGUGGUGUUGAUUGUUCCGUGCGUUUUGUGGGACAAGUUGCCGGGUGUACUUAGCGAAGUUCUUGUUUGCUUGUUUAUUAGUAGUAGAGAUAAACAUUUUUCUCCUUGGUUAUUGUUUUUUUUACUGGGCUACUGGUAACCUAUCGCUCUGAGUUGUAACUAGAGAAAGCACAUAUCUUCAUUAUUUUUUUGUGGAUUAGCAUAUAUCUUCAUUGA